CCUACGGGGGGCUGCAGUGGGGAAUAUUGGACAAUGGGCGAAAGCCUGAUCCAGCCAUGCCGCGUGUGUGAAGAAGGCCUUCGGGUUGUAAAGCACUUUCAGUGGGGAAGAAAGCCUUGGGGCUAAUACCCUCGAGGAAGGACAUCACCCACAGAAGAAGCACCGGCUAACUCCGUACCAGCAGCCGCGGUAAUACGGAGGGUGCGAGCGUUAAUCGGAAUUACUGGGCGUAAAGCGCGCGUAGGCGGUCUGAUAAGCCGGUUGUGAAAGCCCCGGGCUCAACCUGGGAACGGCAUCCGGAACUGUCAGGCUAGAGUGCAGGAGAGGAAGGUAGAAUUCCCGGUGUAGCGGUGAAAUGCGUAGAGAUCGGGAGGAAUACCAGUGGCGAAGGCGGCCUUCUGGACUGACACUGACGCUGAGGUGCGAAAGCGUGGGUAGCAAACAGGAUUAGAUACCCCGGUAGUC
rnacentral:rRNA from 1 species